rnacentral:lncRNA from 1 species
CCCAGUCCAAAUGACCGUUUUGCCCCUAACCUUUCAUAUUUUUAAAAUUUAGUCCCUAGGCUCGUAUAAUGAAACACGUGCACUUUUUAUCUUACCCAAGCCUAGCCGAACACUUUUCCUUCUUAUGGUAACCCACAUUUUCCAUUAUUUUCUCAUUUCUACCACACAUUUACAUCCUUUGCAAAAUAGUCCCUAUAAGGGUUUUUCAUGAAAAUCAACUAGGAAAAGAUGUUUAAUACACAUUCAUCUUUCAUAUUCCUCCAUAAUCCAUCAAA